rnacentral:piRNA from 1 species
UGAUGGUCCUGGGGCUGUGUAGGGUGGU